UCUACGCUGUGUUUGCGGUGUCCCUGGUGACUGCUAUUGUUCAUGCAUACUUCCCAGUCUGCCACACAACUUAUACACCAUAAACUCGCAGUCAAGGUGAAGUCCCGCAAAUUUAGACCUAUGCUUAGCACUUUUACGACCCUAGCAGUGAGGGUUCUUUAACGUGCCAACGCCUGUCGCGACAUGGGACCUCCGUUAAGACUUCUAAAUGCCUAGCAUUUGUCGAAGAAGCAAUCACUACCUAUGUUUACGCCUUAGGAUUACCACGACCUCCUGGUUAUGAAGCGAACACUCUACCACUGAGUCGAUUUGGGGAACAGAGACAACAUCUGCCAAUUCAUAUUGACACCACAGUGUAUGCGACAGAUCUACAAAUUUGUUUAUUAUAUUCAUUUUAUGUUUUUUAUUGAAGUACACACGUACAAUCAGGAUUUGGAGACUAUUGUUGAAGUUUUAUGUAUUAAUUGUACAUCAUAUCAAAUGAAAUUUUAGCCAUGUGUGGUCAGUCUUGUAAAGUCAUGGUAAAACGUCCAGUCUCUACUAGAAAUAAAAACAAUCGCAGCACAAGGAUUUUGCGCUGGGGACAUCCCUGUGUUUUCUACAGAAAUCUUCCGCCGGAUAUCCCUGUGACAGAAAAUUUCUGCUGGAUAUCUCUGUGACAGAGAAUUUCUGCUGGAUAUCUCUGUGACAGAGAAUUUCUGCUGGAUAUCUCUGUGACAGAAUUUCUGCCGAAAUAAGAAAUGAAUUUUAUUUUUGAAAAUACAUGAUGUAUGCCGGAGUGAAAUGCUGUAGUUCAUACCAUCCUUCAUUUCUUUUACAUUUACAUUGUCGGAAUUCCCUGCCAAUAGAGUAGACGCACUAUACACUUAUCUGUAUUCACCCGCGCAUAGUUUGCAACUGCAACACAUUCAUGAGGAAAUGGCUAUCAUUUCUCGGUAUUCAGUCCAUAUCUUGUGUUACAUAAUUUUCAAACUGCAUGCACUUCUAAUUCUAAAAGCACAAAUUCGUGUACAUUUUUAGUCUCAAGUUAUCUGUAAACAGUUGUGAUAUCACCAUUGACAAUAUAACUAUAACUAUAUUUAUUUCCAAUCAAGGGCCCUCAAGGGGCAGCAUGAAAAUACAUACAAAUAAUGUACAUAUACAUAUACAAGUAAAGAAAGAAGUGAUUACAUAACACAUAGUUAUAUACAAAUACAGUGUCAUAUAUUGUUCAAAAUAAAUUUUCCAGUUAUAUUUAGAAUGGAUGGCUCUUCAGAACAUAGUAUGUAAAUGAAUUUUUGUUCAUCAUUGAGUUUGGUAAAAAAAUUUAACUGUUUUUUCUAUAGCACCACAAAAAGAUUUUCUUUCAUCAGCAAACUUUUCACAUUUAAUAAAAAAAAAAUGGAUCUCAUCACCUAAUAAA